rnacentral:rRNA from 1 species
UGGUGGAUUGAUCUGUCUGCUUAAUUGCGAUAACGAACGAGAUUACCGCCUCUAAAUAGGUGGGUACGUCGUAAUUUACGUAGGGGAUUGGAACAGUCUCUGAUUGUACCAUCCCUGAGACAGUACCAGAACUUCUUAGAGGGACUGUGAGGACGCUACCUCACGGAAGAUGGUGCCAAUAGCA